GUCCUCUGCGCGCGCCGGCGGCUGCCAUGGUGGGUCGGCUCUUUGCAUUCUCCUGCCGCCCCUUUCCCGAGCGCCUGCGCGGGCCCCGCCCUGCGUUCUUGCUCUCGCGGGCGCUGCGCGGCCUAAGGGACUCGGCUGCUGGCCUCCGGGCGCGGGGAGGGGGCGGGCUCUGACCUGGGGCGUCCUGGCCGCGUGAGCCGCGGGAUGGGGCCCGGGCCGCGGAGGAGGCGCCGCUGCUGUGUUCCUUGGUGGCGAGGGCGCUGCCCGGCCCUGCGCGGUUUCCAGCCAGGAAGCUUCGAGAAUCCUGGACGUGUGCUCACUGGAAACGGCAUGUGCUUGGGGUGUUGGGAAGGAGGUGACUUCGCCUGUGAUGGACUUCCAGUGUGAGCACUGGCCAGGGUGACCAGGCUGACCUGCACCAGCCCUGAUCAAGGUAAGAGGCGAGGCGGAAGCUUGCCCUCCCUCCCUGCCCGCCCUUGCU
rnacentral:lncRNA from 1 species